rnacentral:rRNA from 1 species
AGUAACGCGUGAGAAUCUGGCUUCAGGUCUGGGACAACCACUGGAAACGGUGGCUAAUACCGGAUGUGCCGAAAGGUGAAAGAUUAAUUGCCUGAAGAUGAGCUCGCGUCUGAUUAGCUAGUUGGAAGUGUAAUGGACUCCCAAGGCGACGAUCAGUAGCUGGUCUGAGAGGACGAUCAGCCACACUGGGACUGAGACACGGCCCAG